rnacentral:rRNA from 1 species
UACGUAGGGCGCAAGCGUUAUCCGGAAUUAUUGGGCGUAAAGAGCUCGUAGGCGGUUUGUCGCGUCUGCCGUGAAAAGUCCGGGGCUCAACUCCGGAUCUGCGGUGGGUACGGGGCAGACUAGAGUGAUGUAGGGGGAGACUGGAAUUCCUGGUGUAGCGGUGAAAUGCGCAGAUAUCAGGAGGAACACCGAUGCAAGGCAGGUCUCUGGGCCUAACUGACGCUGAGGAGCGAAAGCAUGGGG